GGCAAUACUCAAGAAGAACCGAGUCUGAUAUUCCGAGUCACUAAGUGAAUGAGCCGAGUCAUCUAAUUCCUUAUUAGCGGGAGACAGUUUUGAGGCUUCCAACAGUGGAGAGCUGCUGCAUGGCCUUCAUCCUAUCUGUAACCAGUAUGAUGAUGUCCCUCCAGAUAUCUUACUCGAGCCUCUAGAGAACCAUAACAAAUGUCAGGCUGUCUCUCUUCCACCUCCCCUUAAUUUGGAAGAUUGCGAGCUGCAGGGUAAUGGUUGGGCUACUAAUGAGGAGCCCAUGGCUAACGGACUUUCACAAUAUAACGGGCUUCUACAAGAUAAUCAAAACUAGGCCCUCAUCUCUUAUAACAGCCUAAAUCAUGAAGAAUAUCAAGACAAAAAAUUUCAGGUGAGCCUAUCUUACCAACAUCCAUUUUGGCUAAUGCAAACCAAGGUCUUCUUCCUUUCAAAACUUGAGUCUCUAGAAAUCUAGAAUCCUCAAGCAGCGUGGCAAGAGUAAGCUUCUCUUUGAUUUGCUUGAUUUGCUAGAUUUUUCACCCAAAUUGAACAGGGGAGGCAAG
rnacentral:misc_RNA from 1 species